GUGCCAGCAGCCGCGGUAAUACGGAGGGUGCAAGCGUUAUCCGGAUUCACUGGGUUUAAAGGGUGCGUAGGCGGGUCAGUAAGUCCGUGGUGAAAUCUCCAAGCUUAACUUGGAAACUGCCGUGGAUACUAUUGGUCUUGAAUGUUGUGGAGGUUAGCGGAAUAUGUCAUGUAGCGGUGAAAUGCUUAGAUAUGACAUAGAACACCAAUUGCGAAGGCAGCUGGCUACACAAAUAUUGACGCUGAGGCACGAAAGCGUGGGGAUCAAACAGGAUUAGAUACCCUCGUAGUCC
rnacentral:rRNA from 1 species